rnacentral:misc_RNA from 1 species
UCUCCGUUGGUGAAUCAGCGGAGGGAUCAUUACAGAGCAUCAUGCCCUUCGGGGUAGAUCUCCCACCCUGUGUAUUUUAUACCUUUUGUUGCUUUGGCGGGCCGCCUCGGCCACCGGCUCCGGCUGUUGCGUGCCCGCCAGAGGACCCCAAACUCUGAAUGUUAGUGUCGUCUGAGUACUAUCUAAUAGUUAAAACUUUCAACAACGGAUCUCUUGGUUCUGGCAUCGAUGAAGAACGCAGC